GCCCGUGUCUGUGCGACAUUUAUAAGUCAUCUGCCAACAAUACAGGUGGAAUGCUUUUAUGAAGCCUUUUUUUGUUCCUUCUGCAGUGAUGAUCUACCAGAGAAAUCAGGGGGAAUGAAGCUGGUGAGCUGAGGCCUUGUGUUUAAAUAGCAGACCAUCCCUGGAUCUUCUAUUUCCAGGGAAUGAAACUGGUGAGCUGAGGCCCUGUGGUGGAACACAGACACUACACUCUGAACCCCGGAAGCAGGAUUCUUUCUUUUGAGAACUGUUAUUCAAAGCUACUUGAAAGUUAAUCUCUAAAACCAAAAACCACAAAACUACUCUUUCCAUGGAGCAACUCAGGGUUAUUAAAGUUUAUAGGAGGCCAUUGUUUUGGACCAGCCUCCUGCACUGGGCUCCAGCAGACCAGACCCAACCAGAAUGAAGUCGUUUGUGCUAAUGCCAUGUAAUCAAACUUAACUUUGAAAUGAGCCAGUUUUCAAAAAACCAGGAGAUUCCAGUCAACCCUGGUCAGCAUAAUAAGGACGUUUCCUCUGUUUUAAUCCUACAAGGAAAGUAACUUUGAAACCAACAAUCUGCUUUUUGUUCUGUUUCUACUUGCUUCAGCCCUUUUUUCUCUAUAAGGUCAACCUUCUCUGCUGAGCUCAUUGGAACACCCGUUCUAUUUUAUAGAAUGUGAUAUUGACAAAUUCUAGAAUUUCAAAUAAAGGCCA
rnacentral:lncRNA from 1 species